rnacentral:rRNA from 3 species
CGAAAGUUAGAGGUUCGAAGGCGAUCAGAUACCGCCCUAGUUCUAACCAUAAACGAUGCCAACCAGCGAUCCGCCUGAGUUCCUCAAAUGACUCGGCGGGCAGCUUCCGGGAAACCAAAGUGUUUGGGUUCCGGGGGAAGUAUGGUUGCAAAGCUGAAACUUAAAGGAAUUGACGGAAGGGCACCACCAGGAGUGGAGCCUGCGGCUUAAUUUGACUCAACACGGGAAAACUUACCCGGCCCGGACACUGGAAGGAUUGACAGAUUAAGAGCUCUUUCUUGAUUCAGUGGUAGGUGGUGCAUGGCCGUUCAUAGUUGGUGGAGUGAUUUGUCUGGUUAAUUCCGAUAACGAACGAGACUCUAGCCUACUAAAUAGGCGCUCCGAUCCUCUGCGUCGGACGUUCUUCUUAGAGGGACAAGCGGCUUUUAGCCGCACGAGACAGAGCAAUAACAGGUCUGUGAUGCCCUUAGAUGUCCGGGGCCGCACGCGCGCUACACUGAAGGAAUCAGCGUGUGCUUUCCCUGUCUGGUAGGACUGGGUAACCCGUUAAACCUCCUUCGUGAUAGGGAUAGGGGCUUGUAAUUGUUCCCCUUGAACGAGGAAUUCCCAGUAAGCGCGAGUCAUAAGCUCGUGUUGAUUACGUCCCUGCCCUUUGUACACACCGCCCGUCGCUACUACCGAUUGAAUGAUUUAGUGAGGUCUUCGGACUGGCGCUCGUAGCGACCUUUCGGCCGCGCCGACGUGCCGGAAAGAUGACCAAACUUGAUCAUUUAGAGGAAGUAAAAGUCGUAACAAGGUUUCC